UACGUAGGGGGCAAGCGUUGUCCGGAUUUAUUGGGCGUAAAGAGCUCGUAGGCGGUUUGUCGCGUCUGCCGUGAAAGUCCGGGGCUCAACUCCGGGCCUGCAGUGGGUACGGGCUGACUAGAGUGCGGUAGGGGAGACUGGAAUUCCUGGUGUAGCGGUGAAAUGCGCAGAUAUCAGGAGGAACACCGGUGGCGAAGGCGGGUCUCUGGGCCGUAACUGACGCUGAGGAGCGAAAGCGUGGGGAGCGAACAGG
rnacentral:rRNA from 1 species